AUGUAAUCGUGGUCACAUUUGUAUUGAAAUGUAAAAACCUGGAAUCAACUUGUUCACCUAAAGAGAUUUUUUUUAAAAAUAUAAACAUAAAAAAAAUUACUGCAAAAACAAAAAAGGAAAUAUAAAUAUGUUCCAUUUGGAAUCUGGAAUUUAUUUGUGACUACAGGAAUUUUGGUUGUUCGAUUCCUCUUAUGUCUGAAAAUCUGCUUCCCAAAAUGUUCUAAUCUCCAUUUUGUUUUAAAUUGAUGUAGACUGAAAUUUCAGCCAAGCACCAGAAUGAUACAGACGAUUCUCAAGCUUAUUUUGUUGCUCCAGCUCUUGAUUCUUCCAGCCUUCCGAGUACCCUCAAUGAUAUUCCCUUUGAGCCUGUGCAAGUGAGAGAAAUAGAUACUGGACUGACUGAAACUUCAGCCAAGCAGGAUGAUACAGACGACUCUCAAGCUUAUGUUGUUGCUCCAGCUCUUGGUUUUUCCAGCCUUCCAAGUACCCUCAAUGAUAUUCGCUGUGUACCUGUGCUAGUGAGAAGAAAAGUUAUUGAAUUGGCUGAAAACCAAAGAGCAUGGGCACCUGAAGAUUAUCAGGAGCCACCCUGGAAUGUGAACCAAGCUGACCAGUAUCUCAAAGUCUCUGAAUGUUACAAAGACUCCGUGUCUACUUCUAUUUCUUCUAAUGGAAAUCGUAAUAUUGAAAGCCUGGUAAAAUCCAAGUCUUGUUCUCCAAGGAUUCAUCACAGCAUCAGUUCCAAGCAUUCUAGUACAAAUCAGACCUCAAGAGACUUACGUUGUCAAAGUCCAAAAUCCUACGUCAAGCAAGAAUGUAGCUCAAGAUCUUUUGGCAAGCGAGAGCUGUCCACUGAAAGACAGGACAGAAGUUCAAAAUUAUCCUGUAGGCGAGAACGUAGUUCAGGAUCUUCCCUCAAACAAGAAGUCUCUCCUCAAAGAGAAAAGCAUACAUCAAAAUCUCCUUACAGUCAAAAACAGUCUUCUCAGAAACGGGACCGUAACCCAAAAACCUCUCUCAUGCAAGAACAUAGUGUGAAAUCAACGCACAAGCAAAAGCAUAGUUCAAGUUCUCCAAAAAUGAAAGAAAAUUCAAAAUCUCAGAAGCUGGAUAGGUGGAAAAAGAAAAAGUCAGGAAGAAGUUGUUGCUGCCAUUGUAAUUACCAUUGUCAACAGAGCUGCAGUCCGUCCCGAGAGAGUUUGUGGCACAGAUGUUGCUCUCCUUCUUACUUAACUUGCAAAAUAGAACACCUCAAUGUUUCCAAAGAAAUAGGAAAUGUCUAUGGAAUGCCAUACCACCUUUCUCCAGAGAAGUCCAUUGCGAAUAAAAAGGAAAUAAGAGAGAGCAGACAAGUGGUGGAACCUAAGAUACCGGUAAUUGAAAAGAAAAGAAAAAGAGCAAAAUCAAGGACUGGAAGAAAACCUUUGAAGUCAUCAACCAAAAAGAAGAGGACAAGCUCUCCUUGCCACCUUAAUGCUGAAGAAGAAACUUCAGUCCCAUCCUGGACUCCUAAAGACCGAUCUGCAGCAGUGCUGGCAAGAAAAGAAGAGCUUGAACAGGCCUACCUGCAGGUCCUUCUCAACUUUGGAGCAAUAGCCAUCAUGCUGGUGGAAAAGGAACCCUGCAUGAUAGAAGCAAUGAGCUCAGCACUACGAACUAACCUGAGAAAGAUUGGUAACUACUAUGAAUGCCUGCUAAAGAACUACAUUGACAGCUUAACUGAAGCCAAUUGAGAAGACCUCACAUUGGCAAAUCUACCUACUGUACCUGAAGCCUUUUCUAAGACAGUUAAUGGGAGGAAGCUUUCUGUUCUUCAGGCCCGGGAUAAAUGAUGGCCUUGGAGAAAGCCUCCUUUUGGUCGUAGAGCUGAGAAACCACUUUCUCCUGCAACAGCCGCAAGGCGCAUAAGUGACAGCUAGAAGAUUUGAAAGUAUUAUUGCAAUAUCAAUCCAAGGACUUUGGAAGAGAAAAUUGGGAGGAGGGAGGCACAAAGGAUAAACAGAGGAGUGGGAUGCCUAACGAAUUCUGAAUGGCUUUGGUAACUCAGGUCAGGUGGUAACUGGAAUAGGAGUAGAAUCUACUAAGUUUUAUACUUUGAGUUACAUGGAAGCAUCGCAUGUUCUUGGUAAGGGGGAAGAAGUUCUUAAUUUAGAUUAUUAAAAAUAUUGUUGAGCAGUUUUGAAUGUUGGACUUUGUGCAGAAGCAAGCUGGAGAAGGUCCCUGUUCUGUGUGGUCCAGUAAUACUCAAGAGCAGCCCUGAUGAAAAUAGUAUUUUCUCCUUUCAAAUCUAUGAAGUAAAUUUUUUUUUAAAAGAAUAAAAUCAUUUUGAAACAACUUAUAUCUCA
rnacentral:lncRNA from 1 species